rnacentral:misc_RNA from 1 species
AAUGCAUAUGUGCUCUUUGGUAUUCCAAAGAGCAUGCUUGUUUGAAUAUCAGUAAACACCUCAACCUCUCUUUUUUGAUAUAAAAAAGGGAGGGUGGACUUGAGCUAUCCCAAUGACCUUCACUGCUAGGUGGGCGGCUUGAAAUGCAGGUGCAGCUGGACUUUUAUCUGAGCUAAAAGCAUAUCUAUUUAGUCCUCAUCAAACAGGAUUAUUACUUUUGCUCACAGCUAACAUAUAGGAUAAUUGUCCUCUUUGCUGACUGAUGCAGGAUUUUAUGACACUUUAUGUGUUGUUCAACUCGAUCUCAAAUCAAGUAAGACUACCCACUGAACUUAA